rnacentral:rRNA from 1 species
CCUACGGGUGGCAGCAGUGAGGAAUAUUGGUCAAUGGACGCAAGCCUGAACCAGCCAUGUCGCGUGCAGGAAGACGGUCCUAUGAGUUGUAAACCGCUUUUGUACGAGGGCAAACGCCGCCACGCGUAGCUUUCCGAAAGUACCCGACGAAUAAGCAUCGGCUAACUCCGUGCCAGCAGCCGCGGUAAUACGGAGGAUUCGAGCGUUAUCCGGAUUUAUUGGGUUUAAAGGGUGCGAAGGCGGCAGAUAAAGUUAGCGGUAAAAUUGGGAGGCUCAACCUCUUCGAGCCGUUGAAACUGGUGUGCUUGAGGGAGGGAGAGGUAGGCGGAAUGUGUGGUGUAGCGGUGAAAUGCAUAGAGAUCAUGCAGAACUCCGAUUGCGAAGGCAGCAUACCGGCGUUCAACUGACGUUGAGGCACGAAAGCGUGGGGAGCGAACAGGAUUAGAUACCCUGGUAGUC